rnacentral:rRNA from 1 species
AUGUACGACCCGCGGCAAGCCGCCGUCCCGGCCGUUCAUCCCGUCUCUUGGGUCAUGGGCGCCCGACGAGAAAACCUGGGGCUCAAGUGCGCGGAUCCCUACCAGCCUGAUGUCGACGCGGACCUCCGGGCCAAGGAAAGGGACCCCAGGGAGCACCCUGACGCCGACUACAUGUCCAAGAUGCAGCAGGGCCACAUCAGCCCAUCCAUGCGCGCCGAGCUCGUGCUCUGGAUGGACGCCUUCGCCCGCCACCUCGGCGGACUCCCGGAGGGCACGCUCUGCCGCGCCGUCGCCUACCUCGACCGCGUCUUGUCCGUUCGCCCCGUGCCGGCCCACGACGAGGCGCUCCAGCUCGUGGCUGCCGCCGCCGUCUCCCUCGGGGCUAAGCACGAGCAGUUCGCCAGCGGGCGGAGGCUCAACGCCGAAGUCGUCCAGGCAUUCCUCGGGACCACCGUGCACGUGGUGGAGGAGAUGGAGUGGGAGCUCUUCAUGGAUCUCGGCUGCGCCAUGGACGGCCCGACCGCGUACACCUUCGUCGAACACUUCACGAGGUUCUUCGGGCGAGAAGAUGUGUUUUUGGUGAGGUCCCUGGCGCUUCGUCUGGUCAACUUGACGUUGGGGUUUUUCGGGUUCGUUGGGCGGAUCCUGCCGUCCGCCGUGGCUGCAUCGGCGCUGUUCCUCGCCAGGCAGAUCCUCGGCGUGCAGUUGAGUGACCAUCUGGAGGAGGUGACGGGGUACAAGGCGGUGGACUUGAUGGGUUGCAUAUGCGCCAUAGAGAAGCUGCUUCCUAAGAAAAAUUCUUUUGAAGAUCAGAUGCGCCACAUCCGUGAAAUCUUCGUCCCAAGGGACUGUCGUAAUUAUGUGUUCUGCAAGAAAUUUGGCACUGGGUUGCUCUUUCAAAGAAAUGAAAACUUUGCAGACUUGGUUUUGCUUGAUUUACAUCCCGCUUUCCUUUUCGUCGGCUCCGGACAGACACUGCUCCUUCCACGUGCGGUGCUCUCCCUACACGCUCCGAUCGGCGACGACUCGACUGCCAUCUCCCGAAUCGCCGGCGACCCAGCCCUCGCUGCGUGGCCAAUGCUGCUCCAGCCGAUGUACUACCCGCGGCAAGCCGACGGCCCGGCCGUUCAUCCCUUGUCUACCGCCGUCGGCUUCAAGAAAAACCUAGGGCAGAACUGCGUGGAUCCUUACGAGCCCGACGUCGACGCGGACCUCCGGGCCAAGGAGAGAGACGCCAGGGAGCACCCUGACGCGGACUACAUGUCCAAGAUGCAGCAGGGCCACAUCAGCCCGUCCAUGCGCGCCGAGCUCGUGCUCUGGAUGGACGCCUUCGCCCGCCACCUCGGCGGCCUCCCGGAGGGCACGCUAUGCCGCGCCGUCGUCUACCUCGACCGCGUCCUGUCCGUGCGUCCCGUGCCGGCCCACGACGAGGCGCUUCAACUUGUGGCCGCCGCCGCCGUCUCCCUCGGCGCCAAGUAUGAGCAGUCAUCCAGCGGGCGGAAGCUCGACGCCGAAGUCGUCGAGGCGUUCCUCGGGACCACCGUGCACGCGGUGGAGGAGAUGGAGUGGGAGCUCGUCAUGGAUCUCGGCUGCGUUAUGGACGGCCCGACCGCGUACACCUUCGUCGACCACUUCACGAGGUUCUUCGAGCGAGAAGACGAGUUCUUGGUGAGGUCCCUGGCGCUUCGGUUGGUCAACCUGACGUUGGCGUUCUUCGGGUUCGUUGGGCGGAUCCUGCCGUCCGCCGUGGCUGCAUCGGCGCUGUUCCUCGCCAGGCAGAUCCUCGGCGUGCAGUUGAGGCACGAUCUGGAGGAGGUGACGGGGUACAAGGCGAAGGACUUGAUGGGUUGCAUAUGCGCCUUAGUGGAGCUGCUUCCUAGGAAAAAAACUCUAAUCUGUAAAUCUGUAGAUGGAGUGCGUAUGUAUCAUGAACAAUAA